rnacentral:rRNA from 1 species
GCUGUGACGGCGUGCCUUUUGUAGAAUGAGCCAGCGAGCCACCGGUGCGGGGCGAGGUUAAGCUCGGAAGCGAGCCGCAGCGAAAGCGAGUCCGAACAGGGCGUCAAGUCCCGCGCCGUGGGCGCGAAGCCGGGUGAGCUAUCCCUGGGCAGGCUGAAGCGGGGGUAAGACCCCGUGGAGGGCCGAACGCACGUCGGUUGAAAACGGCGGCGAUGACCU